rnacentral:rRNA from 1 species
UCGGAGGAUCCAAGCGUUAUCCGGAUUUAUUGGGUUUAAAGGGUGCGUAGGCGGCUUAUUAAGUCAGGGGUGAAAGACGGUGGCUCAACCAUCGCAGUGCCCUUGAUACUGAUGAGCUUGAAUACACUUGAGGUAGGCGGAAUGUGACAAGUAGCGGUGAAAUGCAUAGAUAUGUCACAGAAACACCAAUUGCGAAGGCAGCUUACUAAGGUGCAAUUGACGCUGAGGCACGAAAGCGUGGGGAUCAAACAGG